UCCUCAUGAUCUCUAGAAUUUUAUGACUAUUUUUCCAGAAAUUUUGCACGCAUGGAUUUUAAUUUUGCUUAGGGAAUGUGUAUACAUGUGCUAUCUUGACAUGCCUUGCCAUUUUGAUUGUGAAAUGAUGAGUUUUGAUCCAAUGAUUGUGAAAUUUUGCAUGCUUAAACUAGACAUCCUAAUGGUCAUUUUGGUAUAAAGUUUGCAUUUUUC
rnacentral:lncRNA from 1 species